CAUGCAAGUCGAACGAGCAAGAGAGAGCUUGCUCUCUCGAGCGAGUGGCGAACGGGUGAGUAACGCGUGAGGAACCUGCCUCAAAGAGGGGGACAACAGUUGGAAACGACUGCUAAUACCGCAUAAGCCCACGGUGCCGCAUGGCACAGAGGGAAAAGGAGCAAUCCGCUUUGAGAUGGCCUCGCGUCCGAUUAGCUAGUUGGUGAGGUAACGGCCCACCAAGGCAACGAUCGGUAGCCGGACUGAGAGGUUGAACGGCCACAUUGGGACUGAGACACGGCCCAGACUCCUACGGGAGGCAGCAGUGGGGAAUAUUGCACAAUGGGGGAAACCCUGAUGCAGCGACGCCGCGUGGAGGAAGAAGGUCUUCGGAUUGUAAACUCCUGUUGUUGGGGAAGAUAAUGACGGUACCCAACAAGGAAGUGACGGCUAACUACGUGCCAGCAGCCGCGGUAAAACGUAGGCCACAAGCGUUGUCCGGAAUUACUGGGUGUAAAGGGAGCGCAGGCGGGAAGACAAGUUGGAAGUGAAAUCUAUGGGCUCAACCCAUAAACUGCUUUCAAAACUGUUUUUCUUGAGUAGUGCAGAGGUAGGCGGAAUUCCCGGUGUAGCGGCGGAAUGCGUAGAUAUCGGGAGGAACACCAGUGGCGAAGGCGGCCUACUGGGCACCAACUGACGCUGAGGCUCGAAAGUGUGGGUAGCAAACAGGAUUAGAUACCCUGGUAGUCCACACCGUAAACGAUGAUUACUAGGUGUUGGAGGAUUGACCCCUUCAGUGCCGCAGUUAACACAAUAAGUAAUCCACCUGGGGAGUACGACCGCA
rnacentral:rRNA from 1 species